rnacentral:rRNA from 1 species
GACCCUGAGGCACGAAAGCGUGGCUAGCGCACAGGAUUAGAUACCCUGGUAGUCCACGCCGUAAACUAUGAUCACUCGCUGUUGGCAAUACAUCGUCAGCGGCUGACCGUAAGCAUUAACGUGAUCCACCUGGGGAGUACGGUCGCAAGCUUGAAACUCAAAGGAAUUGACGGGGGCCCGCACAAGCGGAGGAACAUGUGGUUGAAUUCGAUGAUACGCGAGGAACCUUACCUGGGCUUAAAUGCAGAGAGACGUUCCGGGAAACCGGAAUUCCUUCGGACGAUCUGCAAGGUGCUGCAUGGCUGUCGUCAGCUCAGUGCCGUGAGGUGUCGGCUUAAGUCCCAUAACGAGCGCAACCCUUAUCGUUAGUUACCAGCGGGUAAUGCCGGGGACUCUAACGAAACUGCCGUGUGUAUACCGUGAGGAAGGUGGUGAUGACGUCAAGUCAGCACGGCCCUUAUGUCCAGGGCUACACACGUGUUACAAUGGUCAGGUACAGACGGGCAGCUACAUGGCAACAGGAUGCAUAUCUCUGCAAACCGGUCUCAGUUCGGAUUUGGAGUCUGCGAAUGCGACUUCAUGAAACAGAGAUUCGCUAGUAAUCGCGCAUCAGCCAU